rnacentral:rRNA from 1 species
GAUGAACGCUGGCGGCGUGCCUAAUACAUGCAAGUCGAGCGAACAGAUGAGGAGCUUGCUCCUCUGACGUUAGCGGCGGACGGGUGAGUAACACGUGGAUAACCUACCUAUAAGACUGGGAUAACUUCGGGAAACCGGAGCUAAUACCGACAAUAUAUUGAACCGCAUGGUUCAAUAGUGAAAGACGGUUUUGCUGUCACUUAUAGAUGGAUCCGCGCCGCAUUAGCUAGUUGGUAAGGUAACGGCUUACCAAGGCAACGAUGCGUAGCCGACCUGAGAGGGUGAUCGGCCACACUGGAACUGAGACACGGUCCAGACUCCUACGGGAGGCAGCAGUAGGGAAUCUUCCGCAAUGGGCGAAAGCCUGACGGAGCAACGCCGCGUGAGUGAUGAAGGUCUUCGGAUCGUAAAACUCUGUUAUUAGGGAAGAACAAAUGUGUAAGUAACUAUGCACGUCUUGACGGUACCUAAUCAGAAAGCCACGGCUAACUACGUG